rnacentral:rRNA from 1 species
GAACCGUGCGAACGUUGUUCGGAUUCACUGGGCUUAAAGGGCGCGUAGGCGGGCAGUCAAGUCAGGGGUGAAAUCUUUCGGCUUAACCGGAAAACAGCCCCUGAUACUGGCUGUCUCGAGGGAGGUAGGGGCAUGUGGAACUGGUGGUGGAGCGGUGAAAUGCGUAGAUAUCACUAGGAACGCCGGUGGCGAAAGCGACGUGCUGGACCUCUUCUGACGCUGAGGCGCGAAAGCCAGGGGAGCAAACGGGAUUAGAUACCCCGGUAGUCCUGGCCCUAAACGAUGGGUACUAGAUUGUGGACUUGACAUGGGUUCACAGUCGAAGCAAAAGUGAUAAGUACCCCGCCUGGGGAGUAUGGUCGCAAGGCUGAA